GGAUGAUAUUAUUUGGCUGAAGAACAUUGGUUAACAUUCAUGGCCAAUUUAUUCCUUCCAGACAAGGCAAGAGCUGAUAUCACCAAUAAGGAAGCGGACUGGAGCUUUAGCAAUAUCUGUGCAGAGGGACCGGACUGCAGGCACCCAGAGGAUUGGGGGUAAAUGUUUAAUUGUUAGAAAAAGCCUUGACGUUUAACAGUAGGAUUGCACCAAGGAAUUAAUUGCAUCUUAACCACUAUAUCUGGCGAAAUGGUUCAUACAUUUAUAGCCCCUUUGCUAGCAAAUAUUUUAUGUAAACUGUUUUUUUGUUUGUUUGUUUUUUUAAACCUGGUCAAUGACAUGUAAGUAAAACAUCAGUUUCAUAUAAUUAUUAAACAGAUUCCCUGUAUACAUGACAUCUGCUGUAUAUAUAUAUA